rnacentral:lncRNA from 1 species
GGACAAGUGGUGUCCCUGAGCAAACCGAGACGAGCGGAGACUUGGAGCUUCGCGAGCAGUUGGCCACACUCGUGGGAGUGGUGAGGCAACAAACGGAUGUAAUGCAGCGUCAGCGGGAGGCUGCUUUGCGCUAAGAAGAGCGGAUUAAGAGACUCCAGGAAACGGUGGAUUAGUUAGUGACCGCACCAGUUUCGGCUCGUCGUGUACGGCCGGGAGUCGCGACGGAGGCAUUUCCGUAGGGGUCAGGUGAUCCGAUUGUUGUUAGUUCAGAGAUGGAAGCGGAAAGGGAGCGAGCUUUGGCGGCUCUAAUGACUUUCAAGAAGUUUGAUCCGCCUACUUUUGAUAGAGAGGACAUAGAUCCAUGGACUGUGGAGUCAUGGGUUGACUCCAUAGAGACUAUUUGCGAGGACUUGUACACGAUGGAGCGGGACAAGGUACGUGAUGCAAUUUGCUAAUUAACCCAAGAAGGAGGCAGAGAAUUCAUGGUGAAUUCUGGUGCUCUCCUUAUCAUAAACACAAGAAUGGGAGAAAUGGGAGGGAGGAUAAGAGAAGAGAAGAGAAGUGUAGAGGAAUGGAGAGAAAAUUAUAUUGAUACUCAAAAACUGAAUUACAAUAACCCUAAUCAGUCUAUUUAUACUUAGUUACAAUGGCAAACUUGUAAUAAAAGGAAAGUAAAUAGUGCGGGUCCUAGUUGUUAAUCUAGUUACCCUGAUAAACAACCAGGAUCGGAUGACUUGGGCCAUCAACGGCUCCGAUCAUCCCACCUCAAUGUUACCUAUGAAUGAAGUCGGCAACUAUUAUGGGAAAAUGCCGUAAUUCCCUGUUAUUAAUUACUGCACUACUCCGCAACCAAGCUUCGCUCUAUUGCCCUGCUUCGCUGCCCUGCUUCGCUACCUUGCUCCGCAACAGAUCCCCCCUCUUGAAGCAAUCCUUGUCCUCAAGGAUUAAAGUUUGGGUACCUCUUUUGGAGAUCAAAGAGGUACUCCCAUGUCGUUUCCUCCUUAGGUAGGUUUGACCACUGUAUCAGGACCUGUGUGACAGCCUUGUUACCUCUUUUUGUGAUGCGCCUAUCCAAGACAGCAAUCGGUUCCACCAAUAGCUGGCCUUCAGCAUUGACAUAGGCAGGAAUGGUAGAAGACGAUGCUGCUGACCCUAUCUUCUUCUUAAGCUGUGAGAUAUGGAAGGUGUGGUGAAUUUUCGCUGUCUCAGGUAACUGCAAUUUGUAAGCAACUUGACCAACUCUGGCAACUACAAGGAAUGGUCCAAAAUACUUUGGGGCUAGCUUUUGUGAAGUUCGUCGAUGCACUGAAACUUGACGGUAGGGUUGAAGCUUCACAUACACCCAAUCCCCAACUUGUAGUUCCCUCUCGGACCUCUUCUUAUUAGCCAAUUGUCGCAUACGAUUCUGCGCCUUAUGCAGAUUGUGCUUGACCAUUUUUAGAAUAGUCUCCCUGUGAGUGAGAUUUCUAUCUACUGCCUCAAAGUGAGAAUCACCAGCUAAGUAGGGAACAUGUAAGGGUGGGGUUUGGCCAUAAACGAUUUCAUAAGGUGUUGAUUUAAUUGCCGUGUGAAACGAAGUAUUGUACCACCAUUCCACCAUAGCCAGCCAUUUAACCCAAUCUUUAGGUCGCUCUCCUGUCAUACAUCUCAGAUAAUUCUCUAAACACCUAUUCACCACUUCGGUUUGCCCAUCCGACUGCGGGUGAUAUGCCGUGGAUAUAUUCAGCUGAACCUUCAAGUGUUUAAACAAUUCCUGCCACACGUGACUUAUAAAAACAGCACCCCUAUCGCUCACGAUGCUUUUUGGAAGACCAUGCAGUCGAUAUAUAUUAUCGAAGAAGGCUUGAGCCACCGUUGACGCAGAAUAGGGAUGAGAAAGUGCUAUGAAAUGGGCAUAUUUGCUCAAUCUAUCCACCACAACAAAAAUCACUUCCUUACCGUUGGAUGGAGGUAACCCUUCUAUGAAAUCCAUGGAGAUUUCAGUCCAAAUUCUGUCAGGAAUUGGUAAAGGUUGUAGUAAUCCAGCAGGUGCCAUGUUUUCACUCUUGUUUCUUUGGCAUAUGCCACAUUCGUUCACGAACCUCUUCACAUCCUUGUGGAGACCCUUCCAAUAGAAAUAGCUACUAAUUCUCUUGGUAGUGACAUCAAUGCCAGAAUGUCCCCCGGCACUGCUACUAUGAAAUUCCUGGAGAAGCUUUUGUUUUAAGUUAGCAUCAUUUCCUACAACCAACUUCCCUUUUCUUCUUAGCUGAUCAUGAGCCCAUGUGUAAUGAUGUCUAAAUGCAGGAUCGUGUUGCUUUGCUUCUAUUAAAGACUUCAAUUCUGUAUCUGUCUCCCAGCUCUUCCGAAUUUCGUCAAGUAACUCUGUUUUCACAAUAGAAACCGCAGCUAAAGUUGGAGCUCUAGACAAUGCAUCAGCCACCACGUUCUCCUGGCCCUUCUUGUAGAUUAAUUCAUAAUCGUAGCCCAUCAAUUUUGAUACCCACUUCUGUUGACUUGGUGUUGAUACCCGCUGCUCCAUUAGGAACUUAAGGCUUUGAUGGUCUGUUUUUAUUUUAAAAUGUCUCCCAAUUAGAUAUGCUCUCCAUUUUUGGACCGCCGUCACAAUUGCUAGCAUCUCCUUUUCAUACACUGAUAAGGACCUGUUUCGGGAGGAUAGAGCCUUACUCAUGAAGGCAAUUGGUCUCCCUUUUUGUUGAAGGACUGCUCCAAUACCACUUCCCGAAGCGUCCGCUUCAAUUGUGAAUUCUUCAUUGAAAUUUGGUAAUGCUAAAACUGGUGCACUACUAAUUGCCUUCUUCAAAUCAUGAAAUGCCCAUUGUCCAUCCUCAGUCGAUUUAAACCCUCCUUUUUUUAGCAUAUUGUGUAGUGGUUGACUGAUUUUACCAUAAUUCCUCACAAACCUUCUGUAAUAUCCUGCCAACCCAAGAAACCCCCGCAAUUCUCUCACUGUGGCAGGCAUAGGCCACCCUUUAAUGGAUUCGAUCUUCUGAGGAUCCAUAUAAACCCCAUUCUGAUCAAUGACAUGCCCCAAAUACUCUAUUCUAGGUGCAGCAAAUGUACAUUUCUUCUCCUUUAUGAACAACGAAUGUUGCUUCAAGAUGUCAAAAACUAUUCUCAAAUGUGCGAGAUGUUCAUCCUCACCUUUGCUAUACACCAGAAUAUCAUCGAAAAAUACAAGGAUGAAUUUCCUCAAAUAUGGCCUGAAAAUUUCAUUCAUGAGACUUUGAAAGGUGGAAGGAGCAUUGGUUAACCCAAAAGGCAUAACCAAAAAUUCGUAAUGUCCUUCGUGUGUCCGGAAGGCAGUUUUUGGAAUAUCAUCUUCGAACAUUCUAAUUUGGUAGUACCCCGAUCUCAAGUCUAGCUUAGAGUAAUGCGUUGACCCAUGCAAUUCGUCAAUUAAUUCAUCCACCAAUGGUAUUGGAAACCGAUCCUUCACAGUGCACUCGUUUAAGGUCCUGUAAUCAAUGCACAUUCUCCACGAGCCAUCCUUCUUUUUCACUAACACCACCGGGGAGGAAUAGGGACUAGUGCUAGGCCUAAUUACCCCCUGGGCCAAUAGAUCUUGCACAAUUUUCUCAAUCUCAUUUUUUUGAUAGGCUGGAUAUCUAUAAGGCCUUACGUUUAUAGGAUUAGUACCUUCCUUCAGUGUGAUUCUAUGGUCAUGCGAUCUGUGUGGUGGCAGUCCUUCAGGUUCAGCAAAUAAUCCUGAGUAUUCCAACAGUAAUGAUUGCACUAGUUGUAUAAACCUUGGUGUAGAAUGAGUCUCUUGAGUUCUAUUUACAAUCUUGACUUCAGAGUUACCACUAAAAGGUUCAGCAGAAUGGAUGCAGCACAAGUGCAUAGAAAACAGUUGGGUAUCAGUUUGCAUUAUCUUCUUCAAUUGCUUGCCCUCGAUGACUUGUAAAGGAGCUUGUGGGGAGCCUCUUAAGGAAACCUUCCUGCCUUUAAUGUGGAAUUCCAUCUUCAAUUGCUUAAAAUCCCAUAAAAUAGGGCCUAACUUCACUAACCAUUGUAUGCCCAGCACUACAUCACAACCACCCAAUGGUAACAAGAGUAAAUCUGCUUCAAAUUCUAGUCCUUGCAUUUUCCACUUGAAGGCCUUGCAAACAGAAGAACAAGACACCUUGUUGCCAUCUGCUAUUGUUACUCGCACCGGAGGAAAUGGCUCAAUCUGACAACCCAAUUUCUUAGCUACAGCUAGAUCCAAGAAAUUGUGUGUACUUCCGGAAUCGAUUAAAAUAUGUAUUUUUCUAUUCUUCACUGUCCCAGAGAGCCUCAUAGUCCUGUAAUCCAGCAGUUGGUUGGACCCAGCGAGUGCAUUCAAAGAUAUCAAGGGUGCUGAGUUAAGUAACUCAUCUGUCGCAACUUCUUCCUCUGAUUCUCCCUGGUCUACUUCUUGGGCCUCUUCAAUUACUUCUAUUUUGUAUAAUUGCCUUUUCUUACACUUAUGACCUGGUGCGUAUUUCUCCUCGCACCAAAAACACAAUCCCUUGGCUCGGCGCUCAUCAAAGUCAGAGUUUGACACACUCCUCACAGUCUUAGUUGGAUUAUUUCCUUGGGAAUUUACAAUUCCUGGCUGCAUGGAAGGUCUUGGAGCUUUAAAGUUGUUGGAAUUAUGGUGGCCUCCAAUGCUCUUAGGAGUUGGUAACAGAGGUGGAGUAUUCAAUGGCAUGGGUUUAGUUCCACUCUUAAUAUGUUUGUUGGAAGCUUCCACUGAUACCUCUUGUAGUUUAGCCAAACUGAGAGCCUUCUGAAGUGUUCUCGGCUGAAACAUUCGUAUUGGUAUUUGAAUUUCUUCCUUUAAUCCGCUCAAGAAGCAACUAACAGCGUAUUCCUCAGAGAGAUCUACCCGGUUUAACAAUUCAUCAAAUCUGUCCUGAUACUCUUGAACAGUUCCAGUUUGUCUCAAUUUCUUCAGCUCAGACAUGGGGUCGUCAUAUAGCUCAGAACCAAACCGGAUGUUGAGGGCCGUCACAUACUCUUCCCAGGUUGGCCUAGAUCUUGUUAAUCUAGCCUUCAUAAAAACUUGAUGCCAUUGCAAAGCUCUCCCUUCCAAGUGUAUAGCAGCUAUCUUGACCUUGGAAUCUUCAGGGGUCCCAUCAAUCUCAAAGAAUUGUUCACAUCUAUACAACCAUCCCUUAAGCUCUUCGCCAUUAAACCGAGGGAACUCUAACUUAGUGAAUCUCGUCGAAAGUUGUAGUUUAGUAGAGGAAUUACCUUCAGUUUUUGACGUAGAGGAGUAAUUCGAAUUGACUCCUGUUGAAACUGACGCUUGCAAAUUAACAAACAUUUGGCAUACCUCCUCCAUGUCUCUCACUUGUUGCUCUCUAACCUCCUGAAUGGAUUGCUCAUGGCGACUGGUAGUAUCCUUGAUCAUCGCCCGCAACAAUUCUUCCAUCUUCUUCAGCUCCUGCGACCUCGUUUCCAUAUUAGUGCAGCGAGGUGGCCGAGGUUCGACCUCUCUGAUACCACUGAUGCAAUUUGCUAAUUAACCCAAGAAGGAGGCAGAGAAUUCAUGGUGAAUUCUGGUGCUCUCCUUAUCAUAAACACAAGAAUGGGAGAAAUGGGAGGGAGGAUAAGAGAAGAGAAGAGAAGUGUAGAGGAAUGGAGAGAAAAUUAUAUUGAUACUCAAAAACUGAAUUACAAUAACCCUAAUCAGUCUAUUUAUACUUAGUUACAAUGGCAAACUUGUAAUAAAAGGAAAGUAAAUAGUGCGGGUCCUAGUUGUUAAUCUAGUUACCCUGAUAAACAACCAGGAUCGGAUGACUUGGGCCAUCAACGGCUCCGAUCAUCCCACCUCAAUGUUACCUAUGAAUGAAGUCGGCAACUAUUAUGGGAAAAUGCCGUAAUUCCCUGUUAUUAAUUACUGCACUACUCCGCAACCAAGCUUCG